GGGGAGGCGCCAUAUUGUUAAAGUCCAGCGUUAGUUUUUUUUGUAGAGAAACCGGUCUUGGCUUUUAGUUUAUAUAUUUAAGAAAAGUAGUUUAAAGAAAAAAACAAGUCAAGUAAGAAAAAAAAUCUCGUGUAUCUAUCACAGCCCAGGUCCGGUGAAUUGUAAGGAGAAGAAUGCUCACAGUACCACUGAGUGGUUGAGGACUGGUGGAGGGCCGGCCCAUCUGGCCAUCAUUUCCAGGGUCAAGCAGGAGGUCCUCGAUCUGGAGCAGCGCCAUGCACCCAGGUGCAUCGGUGUCAGUGAGGCUGGGGUACCACGGGCAGGAACUUCCCACUCAACAAGAAGUAGUGAUGAUGUGUAUUUUGGACAGAGGUGAUGUAUUUUGCUGCACUAAUAACGACUGCCAAGGUUCCUCCGGUGCAGAUGUUGCCUUUCAUCAAGAUGGCUAGGUAUUCAGCAUUACUGGUUGGUAUCAUCUACAGGAAGAAGCAAUACAAUUAUCUAAAGCCUAUUGCUGAAGAGGAGAGGAGAACUGAGGUUGAAGGAAAAAAAGAAAUGAGAGGAGCUUGAGCGCAUUCCAAAACCAUUGCGGAAGCCAAUGAAGCCACUAUUUUGAAAUAAUUACCAUUAAAAACAGGUGAAGAGUCAGUAUGCUGUCCUCUUGGUUUGCUAGUAUGGAAUUGUCAGGUGUAAUUAUUCAGCACAAAUUUUUUGUGUGCUUUCCCAAUGAGCGACAAAAAAAAACAGCCCUAGCAAUCAAAGAAGUGACAUCAGAGGGUCAGAAAAUUGAAACCUGUACAAGCAGGGACAUUGUGUUCAUGACAUUUCUUUAAUUGGAUAAUUGAGUUUGGGGUAAAAGCCAAUGAUUGGUUAACAAGGUUCAAUAGUUUUUGAACUACAGCAAGUUAUGAGGAAGGGGUUCCAACUAACAAUCCAGUUAGGAGACUUCAGAGAGAAUUCAGGAGAUUCCCAGAGGAUGAGCUAUGGUCCAUAGCAACAGGUGCAGACACAGAGAGUCGUGACUUUAUCCAGGGCAUCAUGAAAGUAAUGUAAGGCUCAUUGUACCCUGGAAACUGCUGCUCAAAUACUGACUGUAUUAAGUCUUACGGAUGCUUAAAUAAAAUUAUAAUUGUUACCGAUGUGGAGUCAGCUUUGAACCAUUGAACAGCCAUUCCAACUGACU